CCUGAGAGCAGGAGGGACUCACCAUGUGAGAUCCUUGAGACCGCCCCACAGCCACCAAGGAAGAGCACUGCAAAACCUCCCUUCCUCUCCCAGCACCAAGCUACUCCCAGACUUCUCUAGCACACAGUCCCCAAAAGCCACCAACAAGCUGAGCCCCCACAGUUCAGGUUCUGGACACAAACUUCUCCCAAGCCCCAGGAGCUGAGACCUGCAAGAUGUGGCUGCACUGGAGACUCGGUAAUGAGACUCCAAUACACUGGGAUCCUGACUGCCCUAACUCAAUCUCCCAACCUGAUGCGGACAGCUGUAAUUGUGCUAAUUAGCUGCAGAACCUGUGAUGUACUUCAGCUGGGCUCAGAGUGAAGAGAGAUUAAAACAAAGCCAAAUGAGUGAGAAAGUGCCAGUGUACUUGCAUUCAACUUACAGGCAAGGAAUAACGCACCGUGUGUGCAGACAUCUUCUCUCAACCAGGGUGAGGGAGGGCACAGCACGGGAACAAAGUGUCCCUGGGUAACAUUGGUUAAUUGGCUUGAUAAAUU
rnacentral:lncRNA from 1 species